rnacentral:rRNA from 1 species
UACGUAGGGUGCAAGCGUUAUCCGGAAUUAUUGGGCGUAAAGAGCUCGUAGGCGGUUUGUCGCGUCUGCUGUGAAAACUGGAGGCUCAACCUCCAGCCUGCAGUGGGUACGGGCAAACUAGAGUGCGGUAGGGGAGAUUGGAAUUCCUGGUGUAGCGGUGGAAUGCGCAGAUAUCAGGAGGAACACCGAUGGCGAAGGCAGCUCGCUGGGACGGUACUGACGCUGAGGAGCGAAAGCGUGGGGAGCGAACAGG